GUCGAGAAUCUUCUGCAAUGGGCGAAAGCCUGACAGAGCGACGCCGCGUGGGGGAAGAAGGCUUUCGAGUUGUAAACCCCUGUCACGGGUUAAGACGGGUGCUUCGGUUAAUACCCGGGGCUUCCUGACAAAGGCCCGAGAGGAAGUCACGGCUAACUCCGUGCCAGCAGCCGCGGUAAUUCGGAGGUGACAAGCGUUGUUCGGAUCUAUUGGGCGUAAAGGGCGCGCAGGUGGUGACGUAAGUCGGAAGUGAAAUCCCCCGGCUCAACCGGGGAAUGGCUUCUGAGACUGCGUCGCUCGAGUGUGGGAGGGGUGAGUGGAACUCCUGGUGGAGCGGUGAAAUGCGUAGAUAUCAGGAGGAACGCCGGAGGCGAAAGCGACUCACUGGCCCAUGUCUGACACUGAGGCGCGAAAGCUAGGGGAGCAAAAGGGAUUAGAUACCCGUGUAGUCC
rnacentral:rRNA from 1 species